UUAUUUUGUGUGCCGGUGUAAUUAAUGCCCAUGAGGAAAGCACGGUUCAGCGCACUAGCUGAGCGGUUAAAGUGGAGGCUAGUCGUCUACUUGAGAAAGUGGCUCGAUGAGUAGGUGAUUGCUAACACGUGUGAUUUUAAAGUUGAAGAUAAGAAUAAAUAUUUUAUGUAGGCUACUCAGCUGACUGCGAUUUUAUUGCGCCGACGAAACAAAAGAGAAAGACAAGAUAGAUUUGUCCGUCCGAACUCACAAGAGAGAAAGAGUGUGAGAGAGAGAGAGAGAACCAUUUAAGUCACAUAUAUCGUAAUUUACUAUUUGUAUUUAAGUAACGUCUUAUGCGGAGUUUGGAGUUCGAAUCAUGUGUUGUAAAAAACUGUCCGUGCAAAUGACCGUGAGUGUAUACCGUGAUAUUUCUCGUACUACGUGGUGAACAGUAAUAAAAUUUUACGUGCAUUUGUGUUUUCUGAUUCUGAAUUUAGUAAAAAAAAUUGCUUGACAAUUAUAGCCUUUUUAAUGGCAAUUUAUUUAUUAAAAAAAAACUUCCUAUGCACGGACAGAUAAAUAUCUUUCGGCCAUGGGUGCGGACGCGUUAGCUCUCGUGUGUAAGACUGACCCCAGCGACCGAUACCGAUAGCGUGCGAAAGAGUGAGAGUGUGUGAGUGCGAGAAGAAGAUAUCUCAACGGAUUCCUGCCACACCAGGGAACGACGAGGCGGCCUGUCGACCAGCAACCAAGCGUGUGAGCCACCAACUUCACCGGAGCAGAGUGUGUGUGAAUGUGUUGUGUGUAGUGCGCGCCCACCGAGAACAGCGGCUACAGCUUUGCAACUUGGUGCAGCGGCACCGAGUAACGGCCUUCUUGUCCACGCGCGUAUACGCGUCGUGAGAUACUCUCUACGCUGGGUCGACCUUGAUGUGAUUCGGCGCUUGCUUGUGUAGAAACAAGAUUAGCCGCACAAUACAUUAUUUCUUUCAUUCUAUAUUACUUCAGGAUUCGUUUCCCGAGAUUGUUCUCUCCCGUUCCCAAUUGCCUUCCCUAAUGGAAAUUGAAAUCGUACGUUUUUGUUAUAUUACGGGACGCUGCUGUAGAUUUUUGUACGGUGUCGCAUGUUCACGUACGUUCGCGUACGUUUUGGUUGAGAUUCGAAUAUUUUGUACAGCAUUACACAGAAACGUACGCAAACUUACGCAGCCGUAAGUGAACGUGUGAAUAUGUAGUAAACUAAGAAAAAUAAUGAUCGUUUCAGACCCGCCCCUCGGUGGCGUCCGAUUUUUUCUUCUCACAUGUGCUAAGUUUUUACAUUAGUUAGUAUAUAAGACCGAUAAGGUUACUACGAAUAAAGUUAAUUAUAGCAGCAAGAAAUCAAGUCGUACAAGUUUAUAUUGAAGAUUUCUGCAAAUAAUCUGUAAAAUUUUGGGUCUUAAAUAUUUAUUUCAUUCAUACGUUCGUGUACUUUUCCGUACAUAUGCGCACAUUCGUGUACGUUCAUUUAUAUUCCUAAUCGUAUUAAUAAAUUUUUCCAUUCGAGUUAUCAGGAAUACCGCCGCCUCCUCGAUCGUUGCAACUAAAGUUUUCAACGCUUAUUUGAGAAGCCGGCUCCCCACAGGAGAGUGCGGAGGAAUAGCACACAUGUGAAUACGAAACUCACGAAGCAGCUCUCAAAGCUAGCUGCGUUGCAACGCGGGCAGAUCAUAUAGGCGUUAAGCGAGUUCUCCGCAACAUCGAGAGAUGGUGAUCAGGUUGAGUAUUUCCGAGUUUUCUCCCCAAAAACGAGCCCCCUUACAUACAAGUUAUACAAAAAAUUCGGCAAUAGCGCUUCUAAAAGGGCCUACAAUUUACUACUUUUUACCACAAGAUUUUCUAGAGUGUGAGCUAAAAAUCAAGAACAUAAAAAAAAUGAAUUUUCUAUGUCGUAUAGUUACGGGAGUAAGAUGGUUUUAUUAAAUUUGGUGAAGGAUAUUUAGUUUUUGAAAUUUAAAGUUAAUUUAUUUCUAAAACCAAAUGACUUUAGACUAAUACUACAUUUGAUAUUUUUAUUUAUAUUGAACAAUUACUGUUCAACUUAUCAAUAUAUUAUUAUUUAAUGGAUUCUUAAUUAGUACAAUAAAUUGAAUUAAAAAACAAUACAUUAGUUUAAAGGAAGCUACGUGCCAAUUCUAUUGAAAAAAAUCACGUGAAAAUCACGAGAAAAUCACGAAAACAUCACGAGAAAAUCGCGUGAAAAUCACGCGAGAUUUGUUACCAAUUUCUCACGUGAUUAUCACGUGAUAAUCGCGUAAAAUAAUAUGUAUAAAUUAAGAAAAUUAAUAAUAACCAAUAAAUAAAGACCUAAUUAAAAAAAAUAUUUCUCUGAUCGAGAUUUGAACCCAAAACCUUGGCGUGAAAAUUCAUUGCUCUACCAUCUGAGCUAUUUGCUUUCUUUGACGGUUAAUGUAUAAUAGCUAAUCACAUAUAUUGAUAUAAUUUUUUUUCGAGGUUACACUAUUAACUAUUAUUUUAAUAACAAUAACUCAAGAGAAUCAAUUUCAAAACUAAAUUGCAGAGGGAAAAAUGUUAAAAAAAUAAUGACAGUAAAGGAUGAUAAUAUCAACAUGUUGUAAAAAUUUUAAGUCAUUUUAAUGAUUAGUUUGAGAGCUAGAAUUAAAAAAAACUAAAAAAAAUUAAUUUUCUAUGUUGUACGGUUAUGGGAGUAAGAAGGCUUUAUAAUAAUUAACUUGAAAUUUUGGGAAAAGAUCAGUGCGUGGUUUAUCAAAUUUUAUAAUUUCUAAUAUAUUAGGGUAAAUUUUUUUCAUGAAUUAUGUAAAUACAAACCUCUGAGAAGCAGGCACGUAAAAUCAAAAUCCUCCAUGUAUAAUUAUUAUGUAAAUACUAUUCAUGAAAUUACUUGUUGAUUGCAGUCAUUUUCCUCGGAUGUUCUUUUCUGCAUGGAAUAAUUUGUAAGGUCUUCUCUUCUUCCUGAUCUUAGAUAACGUUUAUAUCUUUUAAUUUCUAUUUCUUUACCAGAGUCGUCAGAUUCAGAUAUUUUCUUUUAUAAGUUUAUUUUAGUAUUAUCGAGAACACUAAUAAUUUUAGGGUGGAUCCUAUUUUGUAGAUCGUAUUUUACCGUUUUUAAUCGGUUCAGUGUGUAUCAAAAUUGUUUAUUUCGAAGCCGUGAAAAAGUAAACACAUGACGACGGGAUAUGUAUUAUACCAAAACGUAAAUAUACAAACCUAUAUACUUCAUGUCAAUAUAUAUAUAUAGUUGUAUAGUUACCAGAAGGAACUAGUGAAAACUGUGAUAGAUCUUAAGAUUUUGCGUAUAUACGUGAUCGCGAUUCGUCAAAUAAAUAUUUGGAAGGAAAAUUGACCAACAUUGCUUUUUCUACAAAACUUGGUAAAAUUCAAGAUUCAAGAGAUGCUGUAAGUAAAAAAAUUGAAGGAAGAGUUAAAUUUCCUAAGAUGGAUUGGGCUUCGGAAUCUACUUACGUGACUCCUGAAAGAAAUACAUUUUCGCUUGAGAGUAAUGAACAAGACGUAUCAAAUAAGCCAGGAAUUUUCAGUAAUGGAAUCAUCAGCGAUGAAUCUCAAUCUGAUGGAGAAAAUGAAGAUGAUGACUAUACAAAGAAUAAUUCAUUAUCUGAUAAGAAUAAAUCAAUAAAAGAAAAAAUAGUUGAAGAUUAUAAGCUUAAAAAAUUGCUCUCAACGAGAAGCCUAUUAGCAGAGAAAAAAAGGGAUAAAUUACAAGUCGCAAUAGCAGCCAAUGGUGAUUCAAAUGGUGAUGAUGAUGAAACUCUUGCUAGCCAUGAGCCUUCAAAUCUUUUGGAUGAAGAAGAGGAAGCAAAUAAAGAGAAUCAAGAAAAAUUCGAGCUUAACAUAGGACACAAGAGAUAUGAAGAGCUGGACGAAGACACAAUCUAUUUAGGAUUAGAUGUCUCAGUAGACAAAGAAAUAUGGAGAAAAAUGAAUAAGAGAAAACCUAAAAAUUCUACGAUCUUUUUGAGAGACUUAAUGGAACUUAUAUGGCAUGAAAACGAACUAAAAAAUAAAUGUCUUAGAUUACAUCUUGCCUCGUUUCGAUACCCUGGGGAAGAAAGAAUGGAGUUUGAGCCAGAUUGAAUGCAAUUACUCAAAGCUAAGGUGCCAAUUCACUUAUCUCGUCACUACACAGUAGUUGUACAAAGACUUUUUAGAAAAAAAAAAAUAAAAGAAAGGACACUGUCGAGCUUCUAAAGAACACAAUGAAGCCGUAUACCAGUCAAAAACUACAAGACCUACGAAAAGAGCAUUUAACUGGUAUAAAGAAAAACCAAGAAUAAAUAUUUUUUCCUAAUAAAAUGUUAAUUUACAGUAUGUAAAAUAAAACACGAGUUAAUUUAAAAAAAGUUUUUUAAUCCCGAAUAAAAUAGUAAAACUUCUACUUUUAUUGGCUA